rnacentral:rRNA from 1 species
GUGUCAGCAGCCGCGGUAAGACGAACCACACGAACGUUAUUCGGAAUUACUGGGCUUAAAGGGUGCGUAGGCGGCGCAGAAAGUUGGGUGUGAAAUCCCUCGGCUCAACCGAGGAACUGCGCCCAAAACUACUGUGCUUGAGGAAGAUAGAGGUAAGCGGAACUUACGGUGGAGCGGUGAAAUGCGUUGAUAUCGUAAGGAACACCUGUGGCGAAAGCGGCUUACUGGGUCUUUUCUGACGCUGAUGCACGAAAGCCAGGGGAGCAAACGGGAUUAGAAACCCUAGUAGUCC